rnacentral:lncRNA from 1 species
CUCUCUCGUCUCUCUCGCUUCGGUCUCCCAGAUGUCUUUUCUGCUGCUGAGCAGACUGGCAGGCAGCCGGUGAUGGGGCCCUACUUGGAAGACCCCCUCCUCUGCUGGCUCCUGCGAUUCUUCAGCCUCCUCGUCAGUGUCUACAGCAGUGGGACCAAUGGUGGAGGCCCUGCUCCUGGAGUUCAGGAUUCUGGAGCUCCUGAUCCUCUGCAGGGGAUCCGAGGAGGUUCUGUGCUGUUUCCUUUGCCCAAGAAGCAAGACGCUGAGCUGGAGGAGGUCACGUGGGGCUUUGGUCCUGGGUCAGAGUACAGAGUCCUGCUGCGAGUCCGUCCUGGGAAAGCUCCCACCUGGGUCAGCCUCCAGGACAGGUACCAGCAGAGGGUCCAUGUGCCCAACAUGACGUCCCUGAAGAUUGAGAACCUGACCCCUGAGGACAGUGGGCUGUACCGGGCUCGAGUUAGCUUUACUGGAGGAGUAGAACUUACCAAGGUUUUCCACCUCACUGUCUAUGAGCCAGUGACCAUUCCCCAGAUCCUGGUCCACUCAUCAUCCAUCACACCAGGCUGGUGCAAUGUUACCAUGGAGUGCAGGACCUCAGGGGACACAGAGGACCUGAAGGUGACCUGGGAGGGCAAGGGCCUCCCCAGGGAGCUGGAGGAGAGAGUGACAUCAGGACCAACCCCCAAUUCGUGGACCCUGGCUGUGCACCUGCCCCAGAGCCAGCCCUACACCAACAUCACCUGUGUGGUCAGCAACGAAGUGGACCAGAAAACUGCCACCUUCAACCUUGGGGAAGUCUGUGUCCAUGGUGAGUGUACCUGCCACAGGGGAGGGGCACUCUUGGAGCUCGGGUGCAGUGGAGCAAAGGUUCUGGGCUGUUGUCCACACCACGUUAUUAGAACCACCUUCCACUGGGUCGCCCCAUAUAGGAGCCUGGGAGGUACAGCCAACCCAUCUUUGCUUUUAACGGUCUCUCACAUCUAAGCCUGCCUCUCCAUCCCUUGCCCAUUCUUGUCCAGGGCAUGAGCUUUCCAGUACUCUUCCCUCCCAUCCACUAUCCAUAGCGUGUCCUCUGUAAUCUUUUGGAAAAGAAAUUGGAUUGUGUAUUGGUCUGUGUCGUCUGUGGGGUCUGACCCAGUGAUUCCCUGUAGAAUUCAGGGCUCAGACAUUUCUCUGCCCAUGUUUCUGGCUUCACUUACACACUUCGUAGUGAAUGGUGUGUGUGUAUGUGGUUGUUGUUGUUAUUUUUGUCUUUUUAGGGCUGCACCCGCGACAUAUGGAGGUUCCCAGGCUAGGGGUCCAAUCGGAGCUGCAGCUGCUGGCCUGUGCCACAGCCACAGCAAUGCGGGAUCCAAGCCACAUCUGUGAUCUGCACUGCAGCUCACAGCAAUGCUGGAUCCUUAACCCACUGAGUGAGGCCUGGGAUCGAACUCACAUCCUCAUGGAUACUAGUUGGGUUUGCUAACCCCCGAGCCAUGACGGGAAAUCCUGUUGCUGUUUUUCAGUUUUUGAAUGUGUCCUGCAAGCUUUGAGCCUCUGAUCAUGCCGUUUCCUCCACCAUCAUUCCUCCCACUCUCGUCACUUCCUGAAGGAUUCCCUUCAGGCACUGCUGCUUCAUGAGCAUAUGACAAGCACCAUCACACAGGGCCCUGCACUUGGUUAUAGUUCUGUCAUUAAUACUAUUUGAGCAAAGGGCACCUCAAUCUCAUGCUGCACAGACCCCUGCAGGUGCUGUAACUGUCCUAUCCUCAGGCAUUACCCCUUAAAAGGAGCAGUCUGUGGCCACCCCCCGCCAAGCAGCAAUGCUUUGCUAAAGGAUUUGUCUCCUUUGUAGCUGGAACACUUCGAGAGCAGAAGUCAUGUCUUUUUUUUUUUAAUUAAAUUAUAGUUGAUUUACAAUGUUGUACCAAUUUCUGCUGUAUAGCAAAGUGACCUAUUCAUAUGUAUUUAUAUAUCUAUUUUGAUAUAUAUAUGUAUAUACAUAUAUUCUUUUUCUCAUAUUAUCUUCCAUCAUGCUUUAUCACAAAUGAUUGGAUAUAUAUAGUUCCCUGUGCUAUACAGAAGGACCUCAUUGCUUAUCCUUUCUAAAUGCAGUAGUUUACAUCCGCUCACCCCCAAUCCCAGUCCAUUUCAUUCCCUCCCCUCUCCCCCUUGGCAACCACAAGUUUGUUUUCUAUGUUUGUGAGUCUGUUUCUGUUUUGUAAAUAGGUUCACUUGCACCAUAUUUUAGAUUCCAUGUAUAAGUGAUAUCAUUGGUAUUUGUCUUUCUGAUAUACUUAAUAUAAGAAUCCUAGUUGCAUCCAUGUUGCUGUAAAAGGCAUUGUUUUUAUCUUUUUCAUGGUUGAGUAGUAUUCCAUUGUAUAUAUGUACCAUGUCUUCCUAAUCCAUUCUUCUGUUGGUGGACAUAUAGGUUGUUUCCAUGUCUUGCUGUUGUGAAUAGUGCUGCAGUAAACAUAGGGGUGCACAUCUUUCUUUCAACCCCUGAACCAAGGACAGCUUCUGGCAAAGUUUGCUCAUGGUCAGUGUUUCACUGAGUGAAUGACCUGAUACCCUAUCAGCAGCAUCCUGGAGUUUCAAAUAAAGUUCAACACUCAACAUGACCCUUAAAACCCUCUGGAAAGAGACUCUUCCUCCCUCUGAUCCUCUUCAGCCAGCUCCUCCCUGCCAUGUCCCUCUCCUGCCUGCCACAGUAAGGUGAUGGCAGUUCUAAGGCCAAUGGUUUGCCACAGCCAUUGCCUGGACGUGGGCCUCCUCCUUCCCGGAAUGCAGUCCUCAACCUGAAUACGUAGUAAACUCCUACUCCUGCCUCAAGACUCAGUUUUACACAUCACCUCCUCUAGGAAGCCCUCCCUGAAGACGUGUGUAUGGGUGGAAACCUCUAUUGCAUGGCAGUCUCUCUGGCUGGUAGACGUUGGUAUUUUCUCAGUGUUCUCUCUGGGUGACCACACCUUGUUCCUUCCAGUCUCCCUGAACUCAAGCAGGAGCUCAGGAGGAGGCUGACUGAAUGAACCUGCCAAGCUCCUCCCUCUUCAGCUUCUGAACCAGGACCCUUCAGACCUCUCCACGUGCUCGCUCCUCUCUUUCCCCUUGGCAAUAGGCAUCUCAAGUUCUUUCUGGCCUUAAUGUUCUUCAUUCUCUCCGUGUGAGGGAAACAGGUUCACAUGGACAAGCCAAUGCUGUUGCCCUGCCAGGCAUCUUAGGGGCAGGGGCUACUGUGGCUACACUAUUACUGAUCCUUGGAAUUGGACUCUGCCUUUGGAAGAAGAAGAAGAAGAAGAAGAUGGAGACUGCAAGAGGAUUGCAGGAGGAGUCUAAGGACCGUGACGGUGGCAUCCAAUAUGUAGAGCUGAGCCAGCAGGAUUCUCGAGAGAGCACGGACCAGGGUGAUGGUGAACGACGUCUAAAUGAAAAGGAGUCUCUUAAUACUGUCUACAGUGAGGUCCAUAAGCCAGCAAGUGUGCCCAUGAAGAUAAUUUAAUUGGAGGAGGCAGAAGAAUUGACACUCCUAGGACACCUCCAUUCUGAAUUUGAUCCCUGCAGAUACCUGCCCCUACGAGUGCUGGUCCAGCACCAGCUGCCUCUGGUCUGCAUUCCUCUGACCUUUGUGCCCUCAACUCCCUGGGCUCACGUGGCCCUGUCACUUCCUCUGUCAACUCUAUAUGCUGCCUUCCACUCAGGUUCCUCACUCCAGAAGGACUAGUGCUCUUUCUCCGUCAUUGACUCUGCUCCUGAUUCCUCUCCUUCUGAAGUUUCCCUAGGAGGAUCUCCCUACCUGUGCAUGUGUUCAUCCCCACAGCCUCUGCGCUGUGGCUGGUGUGUAUCUUUCUGAGAACAGGAGCCUGGGCGUGGGGACUGUGUGGAGGUUUCGACUACACCAUAGAGGGAGUUAGGAACUUGGAGCUGGGUGUUGAGCUGAGUGUCCAUGGAGGUGGCCUGGAUGGAUGGGUAGGAGCCUACAAAAGACGGGCCUGAGGCGUCCUUUGUAUGGCAAAAGGUGUUGGAGGGACUGUCUAGUAUACAUCAUACAUGGGGGCCAGAGCCCUUGAUCCUGAUCACCCAUACUAACCUCAGCUUCAGCUCAUGGGCCUUAAAUCCAUCUCUCGUGGAAUGUGAAGAGGAAUUUGUAUUGUCUCUGGUCCUUCCAAGCCAACUCCUUUUCAGAGAAAGACCCCAGGAACCCAAUGUUGGGACUCUGUGUUCUUCCCUGUCUGGGCCAGGGGUUCUUGUCAUUAGAAUGGUCAUGCAGGGAGUUCCUGUUUUGCAGCAGUGGAAACAAGUGCUACUGGUAUCCAUGAGGAUGCAGGAUCCAGUAUUGCUGUGAGCUGUGGUGUAGGUCGCAGAUGCGGCUUGGAUCCCACAUUGCUGUGGCUAUGGUGUAGGCUGGCAGCUAUAGCUCUGAUUUGACCCUUAGCCUGGGAAUUUCCACCUCCAUGUGCUGUGGGUGUGGCCCUAAAAAGAAAAAGAAAAAGAAUGGUAGUGCAUGUUCCCCCACCACCCCCAUGGUGAGGCUGCUAUGAGGUGUGAAGGGUGAAACUUAGGGGAAGGUCUGAACCAGCCCUCUCCUGCCUCUUCUACUGACCCUCAGACCCCACAGUCCUGCUGGCCUCAGAUCCUGGGUCAGUCUCCUCUUUGCUCACUCACAUCCCUCUGCCUGGAAUGAUGGAUCCUUUACCCUGUCUCUUAUUCCCAUCCCUGGCUGUUGAAAACCUACCAACCCACCCAAAGCCUCUCUUCAAGUCACGUGUUCCAGGGAGCCUGUCUGCUACCAAGAGUUGGAAAUGUCCUCUCCCACAUCUGACCUUCUUGAACACCAUGGACAUAACUAAGGCCCUUGCUGCUAUCGGCCAUGGACUGGUCAUGCCAGACUUGCCUAGGGCUCCCUCAAGAGGGUGUUGGGGUUUAGGAGGCAAGGACCAAGAAGACAAACACCUGUCUCUAAGCCUCCUCACAACUUCCACGGGGACUCAGCAGACUGAGACCCAGAGCACAGAGGCUGCUGAAGGUCUCACUGGUGGUGAGCCCACUUGGAAGCAAAGAGGGAUGUGAUGACCUCCCAUGACCUUGCCUGGCCCAGAGAUCUGAGGAGGGGCUUCCCCACCCCAUCUCCAGCCUCCCAUUGCCUGAGGACCUGAUACAGCCUGCACUGUGCUGUGUGGGGUCUUCUCCUCCCCCUGGGGGUUUUCAUCUCAUCAAAGCCUCUGCCUCCUGCCUUCGGUCUCAGCUCUUGGGUCAGAGAUGGGCUCGCUCUGGAACGAUGAUCUGUGGAAACUUGACUGCUGGUCUAGAUUCCUGGAUUUCUUGGUUCCCUUCCCAGCUCAGCAAGCUCAGCUGAUUCACCUCUAACUUCAGAAAGCAAAGUUCUGAGCUAAAACCUUGAGCAUGAUGAAGCAAGGCUGGGAGCCUUCUUCCCAUGGAUAAAGGAGGAUGAGAGUUUCAAUAAUAAAGCUGUUUCUAACCUC